AUGGCUCAGGAUGAACGCUGGCGGCGUGCCUAACACAUGCAAGUCGAACGAAGCACUCUUUCGGAGAUUCGUCGAAGAAAGGAUUUGACUUAGUGGCGGACGGGUGAGUAAUGCGUGAGCAACCUGCCUUUCAGAGGGGGACAACAGUUGGAACGACUGCUAAUACCGCAUAACGUAUCCGGGCGGCAUCGCCUGGCUACCAAAGGAGCAAUCCGCUGAAAGAUGGGCUCACGGUCUGAUUAGCUUGUUGGUGAGGUAACGGCUCACCCAAGGCUGCGAUCAGUAGCCGGACUGAGAGGUUGAACGGCCACAUUGGGACUGAGAUACGGCCCAGACUCCUACGGGAGGCAGCAGUGGGGAAUAUUGGGCAAUGGGCGAAAGCCCUGACCCAGCAACGCCGCGUGAAGGAAGAAGGUCUUCGGAUUGUAAACUUCUUUUAUGAGGGACGAAGGAUGUGACGGUACCUCAUGAAUAAGCCACGGCUAACUACGUGCCAGCCGCCGC
rnacentral:rRNA from 1 species